rnacentral:lncRNA from 1 species
AAUUUGUGUCCACUGCAAAGGCCUCGAAUGGUCAUCAAAGGCUGACAGGGCACUCGCUAGCUGAUAUGACUGACUGGCCCUGAACCCGCUGAUCAACGUUCACACCACAGGAACAGCGGCAGUGCCCCCUGUGUGGAAGGACUCCCCCACCCGCGAGGGGUCUCCCCAGGAAUCACACCUGUGGCUGACCAACCUCCAGACACUACCCGCCAGUUCAGAGAAAAUACAGGACAUAAAUACCACGUGUUAGAUGGCACCUGGGAUGCCGUCACUUCUACACAGAGGGGAGACAGGGGAAUGACGAAACCAGACCCAAGAAUCCUAAGAGCCUGGUGCCUUGUCUGCAGGCACAAGCUUCUCAUCACCCCUUGGUGACCCCACCUCAGAGCUGUGAUGCUGGGACAGUAAGGAGUGACUCCAACGUGCAGCUAAGAUCAAGCCAGGGCUAUGAGCACGGCCCCCACGAAUUCCAGGCCCAAUCCUGCCUAAUUAACAUGGGUGCUGACGGUGAAGGGAGUUUGAACCGCUCCCACCUGCUCUCCUCCAUGGCUCACAGCUGGCUACCCAUGUGUGAUGGGGAAACACCAAGCGCACGAACCCCCGCGGUGCUCUGGUCUACCACAGACCUUCUCCAUCAGCGUUUCUGGGGCUGGGGGCAGACUCUGCUCUUUGCUCACCAGGCCAGGGGGUUAGAUUGACUGAUCUUCAACAACCUUUCUCUUUUCAAAUUAUACGAUACAAGGAGAGUGAUCAAAACGAGGUGAUAACAGUAAUGGAGAAAGAGUGUGAAUAAAAAAGAAAACCGCCUGAACUCCA